CUGGUUGGGAUUGACACUCUACAGCCACAUACUGAUAUACCAGACGAGCAUCCCCCUCAUCAGCCCUCACCCCCACGAGGUAGACCGCAGCGCACUAGAAGAGCACCUACUUGUGGGACAGGUGGACACAAAAUAGGACACCGAGGUAGCUCUAUGCAUGAUGAUGAGCCUAAGGAUGAUGCCCCACAGCCUCCUCCCCCGCCCAAACAUUACACGAGGGU